CACGUAGGGGCGAGCGUUGUCCGGAAUUACUGGGCGUAAAGGGCGCGCAGGCUGUUAUGCGAGUCUGCUGUGAAAUGUACCGGCUCAACCGGUGCCUUGCGGCGGAUACUGCAUAGCUGGAGUACUGGAGAGGGAAGUGGAAUUCCAGGUGUAGCGGUGAAAUGCGUAGAUAUCGGGAGGAACACCGGUGGCGAAGGCGGCUUUCUGGCCAGUUACUGACGCUCAUGCGCGAAAGCUGGGGUAGCGAACCGGAUUAGAUACCCG
rnacentral:rRNA from 1 species